GAUGAACGCUGGCGGCGUGCCUAAUACAUGCAAGUCGAGCGAAUGGAUUAAGAGCUUGCUCUUAUGAAGUUAGCGGCGGACGGGUGAGUAACACGUGGGUAACCUGCCCAUAAGACUGGGAUAACUCCGGGAAACCGGGGCUAAUACCGGAUAACAUUUUGAACCGCAUGGUUCGAAAUUGAAAGGCGGCUUCGGCUGUCACUUAUGGAUGGACCCGCGUCGAAUUAGCUGGUUGGUGAGGUAACGGCUCACCAAGGCAACGAUGCGUAGCCGACCUGAGAGGGUGAUCGGCCACACUGGGACUGAGACACGGCCCAGACUCCUACGGGAGGCAGCAGUAGGGAAUCUUCCGCAAUGGACGAAAGUCUGACGGAGCAACGCCGCGUGAGUGAUGAAGGCUUUCGGGUCGUAAAACUCUGUUGUUAGGGAAGAACAAGUGCUAGUUGAAUAAGCUGGCACCUUGACGGUACCUAACCAGAAAGCCACGGCUAACUACGUGCCAGCAGCCGCCGUAA
rnacentral:rRNA from 1 species